AUGUCCUUAGAUCUGUGUACAGUUAUUAUAGACUUUUUUUUUUUUACUUUCUGUAAUAGCACUGAAUUGCAACCAGAGGAACUGAAAAUAGAGGAUGGGCAUGAGGAUGCUGGACACGUGGUGGUGUCUGAUAUAUCGGUGCCGGUUUCUGCUGAAAUGGAAGAUGGUGAUCAUAUGGCGAGUGGAAGUUCCAUCCAAAGCAGUCUUCACAUGGGUGCCGUCGCUACAGAAGCAGACCAGGAAAAGCAUUCACAUGAGGGUGUUUCACACAUACUGCUGACUGAUAUAUUGAUCCCCGUCUGUGAGGACAUGAAAGAUGAUCUGAGCAAGGAAAGGACAACAACUGGGAAGAGAAGCCCACUUGUGGCAGAAAGAUCACAGGUGAGAGAGGAUCCAGAUACUGUACACCUGUCAUGUGCAGUGUCACAAUCAUCAAACGAGGGACCAUCAGUAUCACCCAAGAGGAAAAGACAGACUCAGGCAAAAGGCAAGUUAUUGGUAGAGAUGACGUUUCCCAAAAGGAAGACUGGAGAUUCCCCUAAGAGUGACGAGCAAUCACAAACCAUUCCUUCGUCAACCUUAAUGUCAGAGUCAACACAAUGUAGUGCUGAGACAUGUGCUGGCUUGCUGCCCAUUGGCUCAGAGGACCGUGAGGAGGCAUGUGGGGGUGUUUCUCACAUGGUGCUCUCUAAUAUUUUGGUGCCUGUAUUGGAUGAGACUGCAGAAUGCAGCCUUCACAAAGACUCUUUCCCAGCUGGUCUUAGAGAAGAUGCAGUUAGUGUAUGUUUCUGUAUUUUGACAGAUCAUCGGUCGCAUGAGUUCUUUUUAUCCCAAUAAAAAAUUCAACAAAACUAUAAAUUUAUUAACUACCACAGGUCGAGAAGUCAAAAGAUAUUGAAAGACCAACAAAUACUGAAACAGAAGAGAUGGCUGCGAGUCAGUCUGUGGCAGUGGAAUGGAAAACAGCUGGCUGUAGGAGAGGUAAAAAUGUAUAAAAUAAUAAUAUAAAGCAAAAUAUAAAAAAUAAAAAAAAAAAGUUAAAAUAGCAGUUUAAGUUAAAAAUGAAACCAAUUAAUAAUGGCUUUUGCUUUUUCAUUGGGAGCAACAGAUCCAGAGAAAAAAACUGAACCAUAUUUUUGGUCUUUAUUUAUUUUUGUCAAAAUUAAGUGUCUAUUAACAUACAUGUAUUAUUUGAACAAAUGAUUUUUGAUUUGCUUCUAAAUUCAUGCUUUCAAUCGAUAUUGAAUCUCUUUUUUCAAGGCACACUGCAUCCUGAAUUAUCAAAAAGAAAAGAUGACUCUUUAGAAACUGACCUCCGUCAGCCCACCUCUACACAGACCCUUUCAGCUACACCUCAGCAGUCCCUGGACCCUCAAGCAGCAGAGUGGUCCCUCAAAAGCAAUAUGCUGCCCAUGGACUCAGAUGAGAUGGAGAACUGGUGUGAAGGAGUUUCCCACAUGUUGCUGUCAGAUGCAUUUGUGCCUGUUUCUGAAGAGAUUGGAGAGAACAGCAUGGACCUGAAAGUGUGUGUCUCAAGCAUUCCUCAUAAGGAUGAACAAAUCGCUCUUAGUCCGACAAAGAGUGAGGAGACGCCCUCUGAAAUUUCAAGUGAAGUAUGCUAUAAUCACAUUUUACUGAUUUUUUUUUCCUUUAUUCAAAAAUGUUAAAUAAUCACAAUUAUUUAAUAAAAUAUAUUAAUAAAAUAAAA
ensembl:lncRNA